rnacentral:rRNA from 1 species
UACGGGGGGGGCAAGCGUUGUUCGGAAUUACUGGGCGUAAAGGGCUCGUAGGCGGCCGACUAAGUCGGACGUGAAAUCCCCAGGCUCAACCUGGGAACUGCAUCCGAUACUGGAUGGCUUGAAUUCGGGAGAGGGAUGCAGAAUUCCAGGUGUAGCGGUGAAAUGCGUAGAUAUCUGGAGGAAUACCGGUGGCGAAGGCGGCAUCCUGGACCGACAUUGACGCUGAGGAGCGAAAGCCAGGGGAGCAAACGGG